rnacentral:rRNA from 1 species
UCUUUCCCNNGGGGAACUGGGGGGGGUCCUNCCCAACNUGANGGNGGGNNNGAACCUUCNNGGGGGUAAAAAGCCNUNCGNAAUUANUCCCCCUUGUUCUUUNGCGAANUUNUNNUUUCCUGGGUGGGGUUCNCCCCNCCNNUAGGNNCAAANAAUAAACCUUUUNGUAAAUUGCAAUCAGCGUCAGUAACAAAUUAAUAAUUACAACUUUCAACAACGGAUCUCUUGGUUCUGGCAUCGAUGAAGAACGCAGCGAAAUGCGAUAAGUAGUGUGAAUUGCAGAAUUCAGUGAAUCAUCGAAUCUUUGAACGCACAUUGCGCCCUUUGGUAUUCCAAAGGGCAUGCCUGUUCGAGCGUCAUUUGUACCCUCAAGCUUUGCUUGGUGUUGGGCGUCUUGUCUCUAGCUUUGCUGGAGACUCGCCUUAAAGUAAUUGGCAGCCGGCCUACUGGUUUCGGAGCGCAGCACAAGUCGCACUCUCUAUCAGCAAAGGUCUAGCAUCCAUUAAGCCUUUUUUUCAACUUUUGACCUCGGAUCAGGUAGGGAUACCCGCUGAACUUAAGCAUAUCAAUAAGCGGAGGAA